rnacentral:rRNA from 1 species
AUACGGAGGGUGCAAGCGUUAAUCGGAAUUACUGGGCGUAAAGCGCGCGUAGGCGGUUUGAUAAGUCGGAUGUGAAAUCCCCGGGCUCAACCUGGGAAUUGCAAUCGAUACUGUCAGGCUAGAGUGUGGUAGAGGGAAGUGGAAUUUCCGGUGUAGCGGUGAAAUGCGUAGAUAUCGGAAGGGACACCAGUGGCGAAGGCGGCUUCCUGGACCAACACUGACGCUGAGGUGCGAAAGCGUGGGGAGCAAACAGGAUUAGAAACCCUAGUAGUCC